rnacentral:rRNA from 1 species
UGCGGGCGUAAAGCGCAGCGCAGGCGGUCCUUUAAGUCUGAUGUGAAAGCCCACGGCUCAACCGGGGAGGGUCAUUGGAAACUGGGGGACUUGAGUGCAGAAGAGGGAGGUGGAAUUCCAAGUGUAGCGGUGAAAUGCGUAGAGAUUUGGAGGAACACCAGUGGCGAAGGCGACUUUCUGGUCUGUAACUGACGCUGAGGCGCGAAAGCGUGGGGAGCAAACAGGAUUAGAUACCUUGGUAGUCCCAUA